rnacentral:misc_RNA from 1 species
GACAAGCUGAACCUCCUUGCUUAAUGGUAGUCCCAUAUCCAAUAAAACCUUUCUUGCACUUAUGAAGGGGCGCUCAUCUUGGUAAAUGUUUUGCUGAUAAACUUCGUCUCCAAGUAAUACUAAAUUUUCUUGGUGACAGAAUUGAAUAAUUUGCUUAAGAUUUGCCACACUAAGACAUUGUCCAGUGGGAUUUCCAGGGUUUAUAAUCACCAUAGCUCGUACAGUUAUUCCCUUGUAUCGUGCCUGUGCAACUGAUUGGCGAAGGUCAUUGAUAUCAAGACCCCAGUUUGCAGUCUCUUCAAGGUAGUAAGGAACAAGAGAACCCCCCAAUAAUUGUAUUGAAGCUGAGUAUAGUGGAUACUGGGGAACAGGUACCAAUAUCCCAUCACUUGGGCCGCGAAUGAUACUGUUCAAGAUCUGCAUCACUCCUUUGCUGGCACCAUCUGUGAGAAAUAUGAGUUCUGGAUCA